AACAACUCACCUGCCGAAUGAAUUAGCCCUGAAAAUGGAUGGCGCUCAAGCGAGUAGCCGACACUGUGCCGUCUGAGAAAAAGAGGGCGGUGAAGUCGUCGGUUGCACUGGGCAGAGAUUUCUUUUCUGUUUGACGGAGCCUGACUGUACACUAUGGAAUCCGCUUGUCGGGAGAAAUAGGUAUGUCACGGCAAAGCGCCGGGUUUUUUUUCUGGCGUCCAGUUUGCGACUGGCGGACCAUGAAAAGCUGUCUGCUGGCAAAACAGCAAUGUUUUGUGUGAAAAAAAUUCCACGCCGUAACGUACCCAUAACCGCAUCAGGUCCCCAAGGUGAACAGCCUCUGCUCGAUAUGAAAAAUGCAGGUGAGGGAAGUCGGCAAAUUAGACCCGUAACUUUGGGAAAAGGGUUGGCUCUAGUGCUGCGUAGGAUGUGGUUGCUGGUUGUAGCCAUGGAAAAUGAGUCUAGUUUCACGAUUCCUCUGCGGCUGAAAAGUAGUGGAGAAAAUUUUGGAACAUGAUUCUUUUCUGUGGUUCCUGGCGACUGUACCUACAGCAUGCAGCAAACUAGAACUGCAACGGACAAAGGGAAUCCGACUGUUUAAUUAAAACAAAGCAUU
rnacentral:rRNA from 1 species